AUCCAGCUGACGAGUCCCAAAUAGAACGAAACGCGCGUCAAACUGCAU
rfam:Schistosoma rodhaini strain Burundi genome assembly, scaffold: SROB_scaffold0012556